AUGGGUUUUUGGGGGGUUUUUUUGUUGCUGUUGUUGUUCUCUUUAGAGCAUUGUUCUUAUGUUUUCUUAGUCUCAUCUAUCAAGAUAAUAGUCUUACUCUAUUGUUACAUAUUUGGUAUGUGUGUUGGUGUGUUUCUCAGCAGCCGACGCCACCUAUAUGCCCCAUCUCGCCACCGCCCCCCCACCCCGGUGUCCGCCUGGAAGAUUAGCAGCUGGCCCUGCCCAGCAGAAGCCCUGACUGUACAAAGACUCACUCCCGGGGCGCGGCGGGCCGCGGGAAGGGGGCGCGGGCCUGGGCGCGCUUUCGCGCCGCGGCUCCGCCCCGCGCGCUGCCCUCUCUGCGGGCCGCUCCGAGGUCAGAGACAGCUAGAGCUGGACGGGUCGCCAGAGGUGGACGGGUCGCCAGGGCUGUCCCAGCUGCGUGAGGCCUACAUGCUGGAAAGGAACUCCAGGAACUCCUUGCUAGAGUAAAUUGACUGCAGAUCUCCAAGUGCAGUUCGGACAGGGUUUUCAUGUGUGGCACCCUUUCUUGGGGGGGAGAGGGGGUCUUGUUUUUGUUUUUAGAAAUGCCAUGGCCAAUACAACAGUGAUGCAAGAAAGUUACCAUAAAUUAAAAACAUUAACUAAUUAAUGAAGGGGUUCCAGGCUACGAAAAAAAAAAAAAGUCAAGGAUAAGUUACAACAGAAAACGCAUCUAUUCAAAUCCUUGACGUUAGUUAAAUGUGCGCUACCGCCCUUCUUCAAGACCCUGCACUGUCCCAAAGUAAAGCCCUCCACUGACCUUCGUACACCUGUCUCCUAAAUUGAAGUCCUGGACAUUUACUAGAGAUUUCUCUCUUCCUUUCCUACCACCAAAGAAAAGAAAAAGAAUGGGACGCAGUUUAUGUUUGGUUUGCAACGUACUUGAACUAGAUGAAUUACCUCCGGCCUUAACUUGGAAGAUUAAAAUAUGAAAGCACUUUGCUUGAGCUCACCAGAGAACAAUGACAGGGCGUUCUGACUCAUCCUCCAGCACCUCUUUUCCACUGCUGGCUUAAACCAGGGAAGUCGGACCACAAAGGAGAAAUUUGUCUGUUCCAUUUCGUUUGGUUUGCCCCUCCUGGGAUGUUUGGAGAAACCUGUUUCAAAAGCCAGCCAUGUCGCUCACCAUUUCAGUUCUUAAAAACGUGUACCAUCUUAUACCAUUAUACGCAGAGCCAAAAUUAUUAUAAUAUUGACCAUAUAGUUAAACUCAAAGGUCAAACACUACAUGGCUUGCAUCCUACAUAUUAGUCCCAUGCUCUGUUUUAUUAAUGACCCCUAAUGAGCUGUUCUGUUAUUUCCAUAGCCAGAAAAUUUAUCAUUGAACAUUUGCUCAUAAAAUAAGCCUGGGUCAUUGGCAUGAGACUAUAGCUAACAUGCUUCUGUUUCCAUGUUUUUUAACCCCCAUGUUUUUCCAGUAAUGAUUUCAUAAACACACUUCAUCCUGUACUAAUGACAUUGUGAUCUCUAGCAUGAAGCUCUCCAGAGGACAGAGAAACAAAUUAGUUUCAGGUUCUAGGAAUGUACUCAGGCUAUCAUCAUAGUCCUU
rnacentral:lncRNA from 1 species